rnacentral:rRNA from 1 species
GAUGAACGCUGGCGGCGUGCCUAAUACAUGCAAGUCGAGCGAACGGACGAGAAGCUUGCUUCUCUGAUGUUAGCGGCGGACGGGUGAGUAACACGUGGAUAACCUACCUAUAAGACUGGGAUAACUUCGGGAAACCGGAGCUAAUACCGGAUGAUAUUUUGAACCGCAUGGUUCAAAAGUGAAAGACGGUCUUGCUGUCACUUAUAGAUGGAUCCGCGCUGCAUUAGCUAGUUGGUAAGGUAACGGCUUACCAAGGCAACGAUGCAUAGCCGACCUGAGAGGGUGCUCGGCCACACUGGAACUGAGACAGGGUCCAGGAUACUACGGGAGGCCGCAGUAGGGAAUCUUCCGCAAUGGGCGAAAGCCUGACGGAGCGACGCCGCGUGAGUGAUGAAGGUCUUCGGAUCGUAAAACUCUGUUAUUAGGGAAAAACAUAUGUGUAAGUAACUGUGCACAUCUUGACGGUAACUAAUCAGAAAGCCACGGCUAACUACGUG